rnacentral:rRNA from 1 species
AUUGAACGCUGGCGGCAGGCUUAACACAUGCAAGUCGAGCGGAGAUGAGGUGCUUGCUCCUUAUCUUAGCGGCGGACGGGUGAGUAAUGCUUAGGAAUCUGCCUAUUAGUGGGGGACAACAUUCCGAAAGGAAUGCUAAUACCGCAUACGUCCUACGGGAGAAAGCAGGGGAUCUUCGGACCUUGCGCUAAUAGAUGAGCCUAAGUCGGAUUAGCUAGUUGGUGGGGUAAAGGCCUACCAAGGCGACGAUCUGUAGCGGGUCUGAGAGGAGGAUCCGCCACACUGGGACUGAGACACGGCCCAGACUCCUACGGGAGGCAGCAGUGGGGAAUAUUGGACAAUGGGGGGAACCCUGAUCCAGCCAUGCCGCGUGUGUGAAGAAGGCCUUAUGGUUGUAAAGCACUUUAAGCGAGGAGGAGGCUACUGAGACUAAUACUCUUGGAUAGUGGACGUUACUCGCAGAAUAAGCACCGGCUAACUCUGUGCCAGCAGCCGCAGUAAAAC